rnacentral:rRNA from 1 species
UACGGGGGGGGGUAAGCGUUGUUCGGAAUUACUGGGCGUAAAGGGUGCGCAGGCGGCGGUUCGCGUGGCGAGAUGAAAUCUCCUGGCUUACCUGGGAGGAUGGUCGCCAGACGGGAUCGCUUGAGGGUCGGAGAGGGGCGUGGAAUUCCGGGUGGAGCGGUGAAAUGCGUAGAGAUCCGGAGGAACACCGACGGCGUAGGCAGCGCCCUGGACGACACCUGACGCUGAGGCACGAAAGCUGGGGGAGCGGAACAGG